AUUGAACGCUGGCGGCAGGCCUAACACAUGCAAGUCGAGCGGAUGAAGGGGGCUUGCUCCUGGAUUCAGCGGCGGACGGGUGAGUAAUGCCUAGGAAUCUGCCUGGUAGUGGGGGAUAACGUCCGGAAACGGGCGCUAAUACCGCAUACGUCCUGAGGGAGAAAGUGGGGGAUCUUCGGACCUCACGCUAUCGGAUGAGCCUAGGUCGGAUUAGCUAGUUGGUGGGGUAAAGGCCUACCAAGGCGACGAUCCGUAACUGGUCUGAGAGGAUGAUCAGUCACACUGGAACUGAGACACGGUCCAGACUCCUACGGGAGGCAGCAGUGGGGAAUAUUGGACAAUGGGCGAAAGCCUGAUCCAGCCAUGCCGCGUGUGUGAAGAAGGUCUUCGGAUUGUAAAGCACUUUAAGUUGGGAGGAAGGGCAGUAAGUUAAUACCUUGCUGUUUUGACGUUACCAACAGAAUAAGCACCGGCUAACUUCGUG
rnacentral:rRNA from 1 species